AUGGAUCCCAGCCAGAUGAUGCCCCGGAGCUUCCCCAUGUGGCCGCCGCCGCCCCCGCCGGCCGCCUCCGACGCCAUGCCUCCGCCGCCGCUGCCGCUGCCGCAGCCCUUCCUCGCGCCGCCCCCGCCACAGCCCCAGCCCCAGCCCAACCGCGGCUGGAAGCGCAAGAACAACCCCAACAACAACAACCUCGCCGGCGGCGGCGCCUACCAGCCCCCCGCCAUCGGCGACCUGCAGGUGCAGAACCGCGCCAAGGCCCGCCGCUGGUUCAACAACCCCAACAACCCCGGCGGCGGCGGCGGCAACAACAACCCCAACAACGCCGGCGGCCGCAAGUACUUCUUCCCCAAGUCCAACAAGGCCGGCAACAAGGCCAAGGCGCCGCGCAACACCACCUCCUUCAUCAUCCGGGCCAAGCGGGCGGGGGGCAUCGCCUCGCUCGUCUCCCCCUGCCCCGUCACGCCCGCCGUGCUCCCCACCCCGCGCAUCUCCCCCUCCCGCGAGGGCCUCUCCGACAUGGCGCAGCAGCAGUGGGGCGUCGACGGCUACGGCUCCAUGAAGGGCCUCAUCCGCCUCCGCGCAUCCUCCCCCCGCCACCCCGAUGCCGAGGGCGAAGGCGAAGGCGACGACGACUCCAGCAGCGGCAGCGACGUCGAGGAGCACGUCGAGGUCGAGCGCCGCCUCGACCACGACCUCAGCCGCUUCGAGAUGGUCUACCCCGGCGGGAUGGGCAACGCCGCCGGCUACGUCUUUGAGGACCUCGACGACGAGUACGACCAGGACGUGCACGUCGCCAGGCUCGAGGAGGAGAACCUCACCCUCAAGGAGAGGCUCUUCCUCAUGGAGCAGGAGGUCGGCGACAUGAGGCGCCGUCUUGAGGCCAUCGAGGCGCGCUUUGCAGGGGCGGAUGGCGCUGCUGCUGGCAGCGCCGACAAUGCUGCUGCUGUCCUCCAGCAGAGUGCUGAUGCUGGUGCUGGUGCUGAGAAUGCUGUUGUUGUCCUCCAGCAGAGGGCUAAUGCUGAUGCUGAGAAUGCUGUUGUGGAGAAUGGCGUUGAUGCCGCGGCUGUUGCAGGCGACGCUGUAAUUGAGUCUCUGGAAGAUGCUAAUGCUAAUACUGCUGGUGCUGAAAAUGCUAAUCUACUCGAGAAAGAGAAGGGUGAUGCUGCCUCUGCUUCUGAUGACACUGUUGAGGAUGCUCUGAAGAAUGACACUGAGAUGGAUGUCGCUGCCUCUGCUUCUGCUAACGCAGUUGAGUUUGCUCUGAAGAAUGACACCGAGAUGGGUGAUGCUGGCAACUUGGUUGAGGAGGCUCUGGAGAAUGUCGCGGCGGCGGCUGAUGUCGUUUCUGGUGCUAAUAAUGCAGUCAAGGAGUCUGACAUUACCAGGGGUGAUGUAGAGCAGGAGAAGAGCGCUGAGGACAUGUCUGGUGCAGGUUCAGAGAAGAAGGUUGAGGACAUGGCCGGUGCAGGUUCAGAGAAGAAUGCAGAGAUGGCUGAUACUUCUGGAAGUGGAGAGGAAGACGGCAAGGAGCAGGCCUGA
rnacentral:rRNA from 1 species